UGCGAGCUCUCCGUUAUGUGAAUACUGUAAGAAGCGCUAUCCGAGUGACUGUUGGAAGAAGGCAGGAGCAUGUUUUCGAUAUGGGUCCACCGAACAUCGAAUUCGGGAGUUCUUUGACGAUUUUGAGACAGAUAUGAUUGUAAAUGUUUCAUUGUUUAGAUUAGAUUAUUAAAUUGUGUGUGAUAGAACAAAUGUGUAUCUACCUUAAUGGUUAAGUGUUCUGGGC
rnacentral:lncRNA from 1 species